rnacentral:misc_RNA from 1 species
GAUGAAGAACGCAGCGAAAUGCGAUACGUAAUGUGAAUUGCAAAUUCAGUGAAUCAUCGAGUCUUUGAACGCACAUUGCGCCCCCUGGUAUUCCGGGGGGCAUGCCUGUCCGAGCGUCAUUGCUGCCCUCAAGCCCGGCUUGUGUGUUGGGCCCCGUCCUCCGAUCCCGGGGGACGGGCCCGAAAGGCAGCGGCGGCACCGCGUCCGGUCCUCGAGCGUAUGGGGCUUUGUCACCCGCUCUGUAGGCCCGGCCGGCGCUUGCCGAUCAACCCAAAUUUUUAUCCAGGUUGACCUCGGAUCAGGUAGGGAUACCCGCUGAACUUAAGCAUAUCAAUAAGCGGAGGA